rnacentral:rRNA from 1 species
GGGUUGUGAGGUUAAGCGACUAAGCGUACACGGUGGAUGCCCUGGCAGUCAGAGGCGAUGAAGGACGUGCUAAUCUGCGAUAAGCGUCGGUAAGGUGAUAUGAACCGUUAUAACCGGCGAUUUCCGAAUGGGGAAACCCAGUGUGAUUCGUCACACUAUCAUUAACUGAAUCCAUAGGUUAAUGAGGCGAACCGGGGGAACUGAAACAUCUAAGUACCCCGAGGAAAAGAAAUCAACCGAGAUUCCCCCAGUAGCGGCGAGCGAACGGGGAGGAGCCCAGAGCCUGAAUCAGUGUGUGUGUUAGUGGAAGCGUCUGGAAAGGCGCGCGAUACAGGGUGACAGCCCCGUACACAAAAAUGCACAUACUGUGAGCUCGAUGAGUAGGGCGGGACACGUGGUAUCCUGUCUGAAUAUGGGGGGACCAUCCUCCAAGGCUAAAUACUCCUGACUGACCGAUAGUGAACCAGUACCGUGAGGGAAAGGCGAAAAGAACCCCGGCGAGGGGAGUGAAAAAGAACCUGAAACCGUGUACGUACAAGCAGUGGGAGCCUCUUUAUGGGGUGACUGCGUACCUUUUGUAUAAUGGGUCAGCGACUUAUAUUCUGUAGCAAGGUUAACCGAAUAGGGGAGCCGAAGGGAAACCGAGUCUUAACUGGGCGUUAAGUUGCAGGGUAUAGACCCGAAACCCGGUGAUCUAGCCAUGGGCAGGUUGAAGGUUGGGUAACACUAACUGGAGGACCGAACCGACUAAUGUUGAAAAAUUAGCGGAUGACUUGUGGCUGGGGGUGAAAGGCCAAUCAAACCGGGAGAUAGCUGGUUCUCCCCGAAAGCUAUUUAGGUAGCGCCUCGUGAAUUCAUCUCCGGGGGUAGAGCACUGUUUCGGCAAGGGGGUCAUCCCGACUUACCAACCCGAUGCAAACUGCGAAUACCGGAGAAUGUUAUCACGGGAGACACACGGCGGGUGCUAACGUCCGUCGUGAAGAGGGAAACAACCCAGACCGCCAGCUAAGGUCCCAAAGUCAUGGUUAAGUGGGAAACGAUGUGGGAAGGCCCAGACAGCCAGGAUGUUGGCUUAGAAGCAGCCAUCAUUUAAAGAAAGCGUAAUAGCUCACUGGUCGAGUCGGCCUGCGCGGAAGAUGUAACGGGGCUAAACCAUGCACCGAAGCUGCGGCAGCGACGCUUAUGCGUUGUUGGGUAGGGGAGCGUUCUGUAAGCCUGCGAAGGUGUACUGUGAGGUAUGCUGGAGGUAUCAGAAGUGCGAAUGCUGACAUAAGUAACGAUAAAGCGGGUGAAAAGCCCGCUCGCCGGAAGACCAAGGGUUCCUGUCCAACGUUAAUCGGGGCAGGGUGAGUCGACCCCUAAGGCGAGGCCGAAAGGCGUAGUCGAUGGGAAACAGGUUAAUAUUCCUGUACUUGGUGUUACUGCGAAGGGGGGACGGAGAAGGCUAUGUUGGCCGGGCGACGGUUGUCCCGGUUUAAGCGUGUAGGCUGGUUUUCCAGGCAAAUCCGGAAAAUCAAGGCUGAGGCGUGAUGACGAGGCACUACGGUGCUGAAGCAACAAAUGCCCUGCUUCCAGGAAAAGCCUCUAAGCAUCAGGUAACAUCAAAUCGUACCCCAAACCGACACAGGUGGUCAGGUAGAGAAUACCAAGGCGCUUGAGAGAACUCGGGUGAAGGAACUAGGCAAAAUGGUGCCGUAACUUCGGGAGAAGGCACGCUGAUAUGUAGGUGAAGCGACUUGCUCGUGGAGCUGAAAUCAGUCGAAGAUACCAGCUGGCUGCAACUGUUUAUUAAAAACACAGCACUGUGCAAACACGAAAGUGGACGUAUACGGUGUGACGCCUGCCCGGUGCCGGAAGGUUAAUUGAUGGGGUUAGCGGUAACGCGAAGCUCUUGAUCGAAGCCCCGGUAAACGGCGGCCGUAACUAUAACGGUCCUAAGGUAGCGAAAUUCCUUGUCGGGUAAGUUCCGACCUGCACGAAUGGCGUAAUGAUGGCCAGGCUGUCUCCACCCGAGACUCAGUGAAAUUGAACUCGCUGUGAAGAUGCAGUGUACCCGCGGCAAGACGGAAAGACCCCGUGAACCUUUACUAUAGCUUGACACUGAACAUUGAGCCUUGAUGUGUAGGAUAGGUGGGAGGCUUUGAAGUGUGGACGCCAGUCUGCAUGGAGCCGACCUUGAAAUACCACCCUUUAAUGUUUGAUGUUCUAACGUUGGCCCCUGAUCGGGGUUGCGGACAGUGUCUGGUGGGUAGUUUGACUGGGGCGGUCUCCUCCUAAAGAGUAACGGAGGAGCACGAAGGUUGGCUAAUCCUGGUCGGACAUCAGGAGGUUAGUGCAAUGGCAUAAGCCAGCUUGACUGCGAGCGUGACGGCGCGAGCAGGUGCGAAAGCAGGUCAUAGUGAUCCGGUGGUUCUGAAUGGAAGGGCCAUCGCUCAACGGAUAAAAGGUACUCCGGGGAUAACAGGCUGAUACCGCCCAAGAGUUCAUAUCGACGGCGGUGUUUGGCACCUCGAUGUCGGCUCAUCACAUCCUGGGGCUGAAGUAGGUCCCAAGGGUAUGGCUGUUCGCCAUUUAAAGUGGUACGCGAGCUGGGUUUAGAACGUCGUGAGACAGUUCGGUCCCUAUCUGCCGUGGGCGCUGGAGAACUGAGGGGGGCUGCUCCUAGUACGAGAGGACCGGAGUGGACGCAUCACUGGUGUUCGGGUUGUCAUGCCAAUGGCACUGCCCGGUAGCUAAAUGCGGAAGAGAUAAGUGCUGAAAGCAUCUAAGCACGAAACUUGCCCCGAGAUGAGUUCUCCCUGACUCCUUGAGAGUCCUGAAGGAACGUUGAAGACGACGACGUUGAUAGGCCGGGUGUGUAAGCGCAGCGAUGCGUUGAGCUAACCGGUACUAAUGAACCGUGAGGCUUAACCUUACAACGCCGAAG